rnacentral:rRNA from 1 species
GAGUUUGAUCGUGGCUCAGAUUGAACGCUGGCGGCAUGCCUUACACAUGCAAGUCGAACGGCAGCACGGGAGCUUGCUCCUGGUGGCGAGUGGCGAACGGGUGAGUAAUGCAUCGGAACGUAUCCUGGAGUGGGGGGAUAACGUAGCGAAAGUUACGCUAAUACCGCAUAUUCUGUGAGCAGGAAAGCGGGGGACCUUCGGGCCUCGCGCUCUUGGAGCGGCUGAUGUCGGAUUAGCUAGUUGGUAAGGUAAAGGCUCACCAAGGCGACGAUCCGUAGCAGGUCUGAGAGGAUGAUCUGCCACACUGGAACUGAGACACGGUCCAGACUCCUACGGGAGGCAGCAGUGGGAAUUUUGGACAAUGGGGGCAACCCUGAUCCAGCCAUGCCGCGUGAGUGAAGAAGGCC